UACGUAGGGGGCGAGCGUUGUCCGGAAUUACUGGGCGUAAAGGGUACGUAGGCGGUCAAUUAAGUCAGGUGUAAAAGGCAUAGGCUCAACCAAUGUAAGCACUUGAAACUGAAUGACUUGAGUAUAGGAGAGGUAAGCGGAAUUCCUAGUGUAGCGGUGAAAUGCGUAGAUAUUAGGAGGAACACCAGUGGCGAAGGCGGCUUACUGGACUAUUACUGACGCUGAGGUACGAAAGCGUGGGGAGCAAACAGG
rnacentral:rRNA from 1 species